AAGAAGAAGAAGAAGAAGAUAAACAAGAUGAAAGAGGCUUUAGAAAAAUUAUGGAAUGGCUCUUUUUCUUUUGUUUACAUUUUGUGUGUUCUUCGUGCCUGGUGUUUUUAAGUUUUAUUACUGACAGAGUGACAGUACCAGUGAUGGAGGGAGAUUCAGUUACUCUGUACACUAAUGUUACUACAACACAACAAGAAGAGAUUUUAUGGUAUUUCAAUGACACCCGCAUCGCUCAAAUCACCGGAGAUCUCAGUAAGAUCUGUACAGAUGUUCAGUGUAAUGAAGGGACUGAGAGAUUCAGAGACAGACUGAAACUAGAGAAGCAAACCGGAUCUCUGACGAUCACAGACAUCAACACUACAGACACCGGGGUCUAUCAACUGAAGAUCUUCAGUAGCAGCAGCUUCAGAGAAAAGACCUUCAGUGUUACUGUUCUUGAUUCUCCUGAUAAAGUGAAGAGAAUAUCAGUGAAGGAUGGAGAAUCUGUCACUUUUGAUAUUCCUGGUAUCAUAAAAACAAUUAAUUAUGUGAUGAGAUGGUAUUUUAAUAACUCUCUCAUGGCUGAAAUCACUGGAGAUCAGAGUAAGAUCUGUUCAGAUGUUCAGUGUGAUGAGAGAUUCAGAGACAGACUGAAGCUGGAUCAUCAGACUGGAUCUCUGACCAUCAUGAACACCACAAACACUGACUCUGGAGAAUAUAAAGUAUUGAUCAUCAGCCACAUCCUUCAGAAUAGUGUCAGUGUCACCAGUUUGAAAACAUUCAUUUUUUCUGUCAUUGGAAGAAUUGGAGGGCGAACUGGAGAAUCAUUGCAUGGCACCAUUAUUCCCUCUCUUAAUAGUGACUCAAACACUGGUUUUAUACCACGAAUUGCCUCUAGUUUUAGAGGGAAUUGACGUUGACAUGGUCUGUAAUCAGAUUUUGGGGUGACCACAACUGGUUCACAUCCUUUAAUUAAACCCACAUCAUAUUUGUGUUUUGCCCAUAACUCUGAUGGCACUUCUGCUAAUGCUGGAUGAAUAUCUGAGGCACAAACAGGGGCGGAUCUACCGGGGUGGCAUGGGGUGGAAAAUGCCAUCCUAAAAGAAAGCCUUGCCACCCCUGCUGCCACCCCAGUUGGCAGCAACGAAUUAAAAGUAAUGGCCAAUUUGAACAUUUACGAGCGCGAAUCUCCAAUGUCCGACUGCAGUGAAUGCAGCAGCACGAGAGCACGCCAGAGCUGCAAGAGACUGAUUUGUUUGGAAAAUUUUCUCAGUGAGCGCGAAGCGAGGGAACCAUGAGACACAGGAGGAAAAAGCUGCUUCAGAUUCAGGUCUGUCUUCAGCUGCUGUAGCAGGGAUAUGUGUUGGUGUUGGUGUUGUUCUGUUGUUCGUGACCGCAGCUGUUGGUGUGAUUUACUAUCACAAGCGUCUUCAAGCAGAACAAAAUGACACCGCAGCACAACCCAGUGAUCAGAUGGGUAAUUUAAAUGACUCAUCCCCUAAUCCGUCUGAUCCUAUGCUGAUGGACAAUGCUAAUGUGACGUCCCCUGAUGAGAUUGAGACUGAGGCUGCCAGUGAGAUAUCACUGUAACAUCACUAGUACCAGUCAAUUUUUACCUCAAACACCACUGUAGAACUGAAUGAAAUUGAUAUAUUCAUAUAGCAACAAUUGAAAAUAAUUGUAACAUUAACUGAAAAAAAAAAACCUACUACUGGGCUGUUGAAUGCUUGAAUCUGAUUGGCUGAUGAACGUUCAGAGGUAUGCAAUUAUUUUCUGGGAAAUGCACGGCUAACAUAGUUCCAGGAAGCUCUCUUGACCGCAUUACAGUUCCAUAUCACUUCGCAUAGUUAACAGUAAUAACGUUCACACAGUUUGCACAAAAGGUGUUUAUCAGCGCUGCACUGAUGAUUUUAUCAGUUAGCAUAUAUAGUGUAACAACUAUUACUAACAACUAGUACUAGUAACUAUAGUAACAACUUAAAGGCUACACAUGACAUUUCUCACUAGCGAGGAGACAGCACUGUUUAGAGACGCAAAGAGGUAAGGUAAAAACCAAAAAAACAAAACAAAAACUAGAUUAAACCGCUAAUUUAAGCAGGUAAAAAAAAUCUAGACCAAGUGACCACUUACUGCUUUUUAUUAAACGAACACAUGAAGGCCUAUAUGUACUGUAACUAAAGUAGUGCAAAACAAGUACAGAAAGUGUAUUCGGUCAACUUUUUAGUGCGUGCAUUUCACAAUUUAAACUAUGCAACUGGGAUAAGUAUUUUAUUUUAAUUUUAAUUUUAUUUUUUACAAGUUUUUUAGCUAAGAACACAAGUCUGUCAUCUGUCAUUGGGUUUUAAGAGAAGCUCUGUGGCAUGAAACUAUGUUCCUACUGACAUUUAAAACCCUCUUGAUGGGGAGCUUGUUGCUCACAUAUUAACAUUUACAUUUACUCAUUUAGCAGACGCUUUUACUUAAACGACUUACAAAUGAGGACUGUGGAAGCAAUCAAAAACAACAAAAGAGCAAUGAUAUAUAGGUGCUAUAACAAGUCUCCAUGAGGAGUCAGCACGUGCGCAUGGUUGCCAGAUUGCUUAAAAUAAGCAAACACCAGGCAGAAAAUGUAUUCUUGUAAUAGUGUAGCUCUGAUUUGGGGAUUCAUGAACGAUCUCGUAGUAGAGGCGCGGAGAGCAGUCCGCAGUUACGUGUUACUUUUUUGUUCGGUGCGUUCUUUUUGGAAAGUAUGCUUUAAUUUGAAAUAUUCAGUAUUCCCGAUAUUUUCUAAUUUUUCAUCGUAGUAAAAAUUAUUCCGAUAUUAUCGCUAAUAUUCGAUAUAUCGCCCAGCACUAGUCUCCAGAGAUUUUUGAUAUAUGGAGGGAUUAAGCUGCUGAAGGGACCCAGAUUGGUGAACAAUGGUCAUUUAUCUGUUUCUUAUCAUUAUCACGAAUUAAUGCACUAACCUAUAUUGCUGCUAACAAAUGAAUGCACUUGAUAAUAUAAUGCACAAUGAAAUGCAAUUUGAAUUUAUUCAAGUCCCCUUUAUUUAUAUAGCGCUUUAAACAAAAAAAGAUUGUGUCAAAGCAACUGAGCAACAUAUGUAUCUCCUCCUAGAUUUUUACAGCUACAAGCACCAAACUCAGGUCAGUUUUAUUACGUAAGAUCAUCUACCUACAGCUGACUUACGGUUUUCCUCAAACCUCUUGUUCACUUUAUUGAUUUGUCUUUUCUUUGUGUUUUUUUUUGUUGUUGUUGUUGUUAUAAUUAUUUAGCAAGCUGUUUAAAUAUUGCUAAUGAUCAUGGAAGGGUAUGCACUAAAACAAAAUGAAGCUAUAAACUGAGGCUUUUGCACAAUAGUCCCAUACGACAUACAUGACUAAACCUAGUGUGUCUAGUUGAGGACUUAUUUAUUUGCAUUUAUUUCCUUUACAUACAAGGCUUGUUUGAGAUUCGCCACGCCUCGCCUGAAAUGUAGACGACAACAGGAGGCUGCAGUGUAGUGAUGGCCGCUUUUGAAACACUGCUUAAUGAAGCUUCAAAACAUUUACAAAUCUUUCGUUUUGAAUCAGUUGUUCAGAGUGCAUGUCAAAUUGGGCAAGUCACGUGGUUUCAGCAAACAAGGCUUCGUUAUGUCAGGAUUGUUUAAGAAUAUUGUGAUUUUGCCAAUUACUUCAUUCAUAAAUUUAGAUUAUUUAAUAACCUCCCACUUUAUUACUUUUUCCAGAAAGAUUUAUUGGUCUUCUUCAAAUACCUAAAGCUUAUGUAUCACAAAAAACUCUUAAACUGUGUAGUCUUUUGAAUGUUUGUUGUUGUUGUUUGAUGAUUAAACCCCUUGUAGUGGUUUUUUUUUUUUCUGUAUUUUUUAUUUAUUUAUUUUCCUGUUGUGAUUAUUUUGUGUAUCCAUGUAUUUUUUGUUAUACUGCUGUUUGGACUUCUCUGAAUUAAGAAUUGUUUCUUCUGUUGUUUAUUUGGUAUUUUGUAUGUUUAUCAAGCAAUAAAUAAAUAAUA